rnacentral:rRNA from 1 species
GCGACCCCGUGUCAGGCGGGG